rnacentral:rRNA from 1 species
AUUGAACGCUGGCGGCAUGCUUUACACAUGCAAGUCGAACGGUAACAGGUUAAGCUGACGAGUGGCGAACGGGUGAGUAAUGCAUCGGAACGUGCCCGAUCGUGGGGGAUAACGCAGCGAAAGCUGCGCUAAUACCGCAUACGAUCUGAGGAUGAAAGCGGGGGACCGUAAGGCCUCGCGCGAUCGGAGCGGCCGAUGUCAGAUUAGGUAGCCGGUGGGGUAAAGGCUCACCAAGCCAACGAUCUGUAGCUGGUCUGAGAGGACGACCAGCCACACGGGGACUGAGACACGGCCCAGACUCCUACGGGAGGCAGCAGUGGGGAAUUUUGGACAAUGGGCGAAAGCCUGAUCCAGCAAUGCCGCGUGCAGGAAGAAGGCCUUCGGGUUGUAAACUGCUUUUGUACGGAGCGAAAAGGCCCUCUCUAAUACAGGGGGUUUAUGACGGUACCGUAAGAAUAAGCACCGGCUAACUACGUGCCAGCAGCCGCCGUAA